ACGCACGCUGGCGGCGUGCCUCAUCCCUGCAAGUAGCACGCUGAAGGAGGAGCUUGCUUCUCUGGAUGAGUUGCGAACGGGUGAGUAACGCGUAGGUAACCUGCCUGGUAGCGGGGGAUAACUAUUGGAAACGAUAGCUAAUACCGCAUAAUAGUAGAUGUUGCAUGACAUUUGCUUAAAAGGUGCAAUUGCAUCACUACCAGAUGGACCUGCGUUGUAUUAGCUAGUUGGUGGGGUAACGGCUCACCAAGGCGACGAUACAUAGCCGACCUGAGAGGGUGAUCGGCCACACUGGGACUGAGACACGGCCCAGACUCCUACGGGAGGCAGCAGUAGGGAAUCUUCGGCAAUGGACGGAAGUCUGACCGAGCAACGCCGCGUGAGUGAAGAAGGUUUUCGGAUCGUAAAGCUCUGUUGUAAGAGAAGAACGAGUGUGAGAGUGGAAAGUUCACACUGUGACGGUAUCUUACCAGAAAGGGACGGCUAACUACGUG
rnacentral:rRNA from 1 species